rnacentral:rRNA from 1 species
UACGGGGGGGGCAAGCGUUGUUCGGAAUUACUGGGCGUAAAGGGCUCGUAGGCGGCCAACUAAGUCAGACGUGAAAUCCCCAGGCUUAACCUGGGAACUGCGUCUGAUACUGGAUGGCUUGAAUUCGGGAGAGGGAUGCAGAAUUCCAGGUGUAGCGGUGAAAUGCGUAGAUAUCUGGAGGAAUACCGGUGGCGAAGGCGGCAUCCUGGACCGAGAUUGACGCUGAUGAGCGAAAGCUAGGGGAGCAACAGGG